rnacentral:rRNA from 1 species
CCCUACGGGGGGCAGCAGUAGGGAAUAUUGCUCAAUGGGGGAAACCCUGAAGCAGCAACGCCGCGUGGAGGAUGAAGGUUUUCGGAUUGUAAACUCCUUUUGUUAGAGAAGAUAAUGACGGUAUCUAACGAAUAAGCACCGGCUAACUCCGUGCCAGCAGCCGCGGUAAUACGGAGGGUGCAAGCGUUACUCGGAAUCACUGGGCGUAAAGAGCGCGUAGGCGGGAUAGCAAGUCAGAUGUGAAAUCCGGGGGCUCAACCCCCGAACUGCAUUUGAAACUGUUGGUCUUGAGUAUCGGAAAGGCG